rnacentral:rRNA from 1 species
GCGGAGGGAUCAUUACAGAGUUAUCCAACUCCCAAACCCAUGUGAACUUAUCUCUUUGUUGCCUCGGCGCAAGCUACCCGGGACCUCGCGCCCCGGGCGGCCCGCCGGCGGACAAACCAAAACUCUUGUUAUCUUAGUUGAUUAUCUGAGUGUCUUAUUUAAUAAGUCAAAACUUUCAACAACGGAUCUCUUGGUUCUGGCAUCGAUGAAGAACGCAGCGAAAUGCGAUAAGUAAUGUGAAUUGCAGAAUUCAGUGAAUCAUCGAAUCUUUGAACGCACAUUGCGCCCAUUAGUAUUCUAGUGGGCAUGCCUGUUCGAGCGUCAUUUCAACCCCUAAGCACAGCUUAUUGUUGGGAACCUACGGCUUCGUAGUUCCUCAAAGACAUUGGCGGAGUGGCAGUGGUCCUCUGAGCGUAGUAAUCUUUUAUCUCGCUUCUGUUAGGUGCUGCCCCCCCGGCCGUAAAACCCCCAAUUUUUUCUGGUUGACCUCGGAUCAGGUAGGAAUACCCGCUGAACUUAAGCAAU